rnacentral:misc_RNA from 1 species
AGUCGUAACAAGGUUUCCGUAGGUGAACCUGCGGAAGGAUCAUUAACACAAUUUUACUGUGAUAAAUCCGUUGAAUUCUCACGAAUUCAAUGGUAUCCACCCCAUUAUUGACGAACUUUUAAGAUGUUAAAACUAAAAACGUAGAGCUAGUCUUUAUUUUUUUAACAUUCUAACCCUUUUCUAUACCCACACAUUUAAACCCCUUUUACAACAUGUCUUAGACUGAAAUGAAAAUUUUCUAUCAAAAAAUUGAUAAAAACAACUUUUAACAACGGAUAUCUUGGCUCUC